AGUGCGCGACAAGGCGUGCCAGGCGCAGGCUUCAUCAAACGCCUGAUAGGCGACACAAUCACCGCCUUCCUCGGCCCAAUCUCCACAGAAACGGCGAAAAUCAAAAAAAUCAAUCAAUAUCAGCAAGAAGCCGCUGAGGAAUUCAAAAAAUUCCAGGAAACUCAGCCGAAAGCCGGCGGCGGCGGUGAAGCUGAAAAUUUGGAUGAAAAUGUGCCUGAAAAU
ensembl:snoRNA T08D2.11 ncRNA